rnacentral:misc_RNA from 1 species
UUUGUUGUACAUAGGAACACUACCCAUCUCUAGGUAGUUGUAUGAGGAAAUGAUAAUUUAGCUGCAAAGAUAGAAGCCGGAGAUUGGCCAAAAAAACCUCUUCUCUUUCUCAAGGAGAAAAUAAAGAGAAAGGAAAAAAUAAAGAGAAAGGAAAAAAAGCAGAAGUCACAUCUGCUUCCUAGGGAAAGUAAGUAAGCAAAUUUCUUGGAAAGUUCUUUCGAUAAGGGAGUCGGGAUAGUAGAUAGAGGACCAGGAUAAGCUAGGGCCAGUUCCUGGGUAAAGAAAGGUAACAGCAGGG